AACGUAGGAGACAAACGUUAUCCGGAGUUACUGGGCGUAAAGGGCGUGUAGGUGGUUAUGUAAGUCUGGCGUGAAAUUUUUCGGCUUAACCGGGAAAGGUCGUCGGAUACUGCAAAACUAGAGGACGGUAGAGGCGUGUGGAAUUCCGGGUGUAGUGGUGAAAUGCGUAGAGAUCCGGAGGAACACCAGUGGCGAAGGCGACACGCUGGGCCGUACCUGACGCUGAUGCGCGAAAGCGUGGGGAGCGAUCCGG
rnacentral:rRNA from 1 species